rnacentral:rRNA from 1 species
AAACGCCAGUUUGGAUUUGUGAGGGUGCGCUAUCGCGGACUCAAGAAGAACACGGCUCAGCUUGUGACGCUGUUUGCGCUGACCAAUCUGUGGAUGGUGCGCUCCAAAUUGAUGGCGGUUCAGGCAUGAGUGCGCCUAAAAACGGGGCAUA